rnacentral:rRNA from 1 species
CCCGCCCAGGAACUACGAGCAAAAGCUUAAAACCUAAAGGACUUGGCGGUGCUUUAGACCCACCUAGAGGAGCCUGUUCUACAACCGAUAACCCCCGUUAAACCUCACCUUCUCUUGCCAUUUCCGCCUAUAUACCGCCGUCGUCAGCUUACCCUGUGAAGGACCUUCAGUGAGCAAAAUUGAUUUAAUCCAAAACGCCAGGUCGAGGUGUAGCAUAUGAGAAGGAAAGAAAUGGGCUACAUUUUCUAUCAUAGAAAACAACGAAAACUGCCAUGAAACAGCACAUUAAGGAGGAUUUAGCAGUAAGUGGAGAAUAGAGAGCCCC